rnacentral:tRNA from 1 species
GCCGAGGUGGCGGAACAGGUAUACGCGCCGGUCUCAAAAACCGGUCACCGCAAGGUGGUGUGGGUUCGAUUCCCACCCUCGGCA